rnacentral:rRNA from 1 species
UACGAGGGGGGCAAGCGUUGUUCGGAAUUGUUGGGCGUAAAGAGCGUGUAGGCGGUUUGGUAGGUCCGUUGUGAAAACUCGAGGCUCAACCUCGAGACGCCGAUGGAAACCAUCAGACUAGAGUCCGGAAGAGGAGAGUGGAAUUCCUGGUGUAGCGGUGAAAUGCGCAGAUAUCAGGAAGAACACCCGUGGCUAAGGCGGCUCUCUAGUACGGUACUGACGCUGAGACGCGAAAGCGUGGGGAGCGAACAGG